rnacentral:tRNA from 1 species
GAGCAUGUAACUCAAAGGAUAGAGUAUCGGAUUCCGAUUCCGAAUGUUGUAGGUUCAACUCCUUCCAUGCUUA